UGCCUCGGCGGAUCAGCCCGCGCCCUGUAAAACGGGACGGCCCGCCCGAGGACCCUAAACUCUGUUUCUAGUGGAACUUCUGAGUAAAACAAACAAAUAAAUCAAAACUUUCAACAACGGAUCUCUUGGUUCUGGCAUCGAUGAAGAACGCAGCAAAAUGCGAUAAGUAAUGUGAAUUGCAGAAUUCAGUGAAUCAUCGAAUCUUUGAACGCACAUUGCGCCCGCCAGUAUUCUGGCGGGCAUGCCUGUUCGAGCGUCAUUUCAACCCUCAAGCUCUGCUUGGUGUUGGGACUCGCGGUAACCCGCGUUCCCCAAAUCGAUUGGCGGUCACGUCGAGCUUCCAUAGCGUAGUAAUCAUACACCUCGUUACUGGUAAUCGUCGCGGCCACGCCGUAAAACCCCAACUUCUGAAUGUUGACCUCGGAUCAGGUAGGAAUACCCGCUGAACUUAAGCAUAUCAAUAAGCGGAGG
rnacentral:rRNA from 1 species